GGAUGUGAGGGCGAUCUGGUUGCGACAUCUGUCACCCCAUUGAUCGCCAGGGUUGAUUCGGCUGAUCUGGCUGGCUAGGCGGGUGUCCCCUUCCUCCCUCACCGCUCCAUGUGCGUCCCUCCCGAAGCUGCGCGCUCGGUCGAAGAGGACGACCAUCCCCGCUAGAGGAGGACCGGUCUUCGGUCAAGGGUAUACGAGUAGCUGCGCUCCCCUGCUAGAACCUCCAAACAAGCUCUCAAGGUCCAUUUGUAGGAGAACGUAGGGUAGUCAAGCUUCCAAGACUCCAGACACAUCCAAAUGAGGCGCUGCACGUGGCAGUCUGCCUUUCUUU
rnacentral:snRNA from 8 species